GUGAGGAAUAUUGGUCAAUGGGCGAGAGCCUGAACCAGCCAAGUCGCGUGAAGGAAGAAGGAUCUAUGGUUCGUAAACUUCUUUUGCAGGGGAAUAAAGUGCAGGACGUGUCCUGUUUUGUAUGUACCCUGAGAAUAAGGAUCGGCUAACUCCGUGCCAGCAGCCGCGGUAAUACGGAGGAUCCGAGCGUUAUCCGGAUUUAUUGGGUUUAAAGGGUGCGUAGGUGGUUUGAUAAGUCAGCGGUGAAAGUUUGCAGCUUAACUGUAAAAAUGCCGUUGAAACAGUCGGACUUGAGUGUAAAUGAGGUAGGCGGAAUGCGUGGUGUAGCGGUGAAAUGCAUAGAUAUCACGCAGAACUCCGAUUGCGAAGGCAGCUUACUAAGCUACAACUGACACUGAAGCACGAAAGCGUGGGGAUCAAACAGGAUUAGAUACCCGGGUAGUCC
rnacentral:rRNA from 1 species